rnacentral:lncRNA from 1 species
UUCUUUUGAAUUUUGAAUUUUGAAUGUGUAUCUCCUUGAGAUUUGGCUUCUUGAAUAAGCUGAAUUUUGAAUUUUGAAUGCUCUUGAAGAUUUGAAAUUUGAAUUUCAAAUUACUUUCCUUAUCUAUCUCCUCUUAAGUUGCAACUUGGCAUGCUUAUUCUCCUUUAUUCCAUUUUAGGCAAUUUUAAGGGCACUCUCUCCAAAUUACCUCUUUACACCAUUUUCUGCAAAACAAGAUCAAAACCACAAAAUUAGGCAGAAAAAGUGUAAAUUAACAUUAAUAACAUCAUGAUAAAAUGGUCUAAAUUUGGACUGAUCAAAUACCCCCACACCUAGCCUUUUGCUUGUCCUCAAGCAAAUAAAUUUAGUCAAACAAGCUCUCUUUGCUGCUUGAUCCUUUAUUUCCACUUAAGCUCUUACUCUAGACCCCUACUUUGAAGCAUUGCAGUGAAGAAUGUAUGCACAAAGGUUACUCUCCUUCUUUCCUUGUCUCCCUUUACCUACCAUGGCUAGUAUUUGUUUUCCUCAAGAGAGAGAUUAUACAUGCACAUAUUCUUGUUCAGUUAAGUCUUUUCCUAGCUUUUGGAGUGACUUGCCCUUACUUGAAGCACUUUAUUCAGCUUUUUGCACUUUAAUCUUGCUUGAAAAAGUUACCAACUUUUUGACGUGAAGGUACAUAUUUGUGAUACCCACCCCCAGUUACUCAGUUAGUCACCUGUCCAAGUGGCUACUAGCUCUGUUCAUAGUCUUUUGACCAUUGGAACAGUUUUUCAUUUGUGUUUUUGAAGUCUUUGCCUUUGCUGAAUUUCUUUCCCAAUGAAUUGGGCAAAUCAACACCAAUUGCUAAAAUAAGCCAUGUUCAGUUACUCACACAUCUUUCAAUUUAUUCUCUCUAAUGAGUAGUAUAUAUUUUUCACUAUGACAAGCUCAAAGAUUCAAUUGAAAAGGAAAUUCUCAAAAAUGAAUACAACUCACUGCAAUUGAUUUAACUUAGGUUUAAAGAGUCAUCACAUCAAUGGGGUCAUGGAAAAAAAGCUCAUUCAACAUAGCCUAUGAGUUUGAGUAAAGCAUAUCAAAACAGAAAAAGAAAAAAAAAACUGUGGCUACAUGUGUGUGCAUUAAAGGCAAAAAUAACAAAAAUGAAAAAUGUGUACAAACUAAAAAAUUAAAGCUAAAAAUGGACUUAAAAUAAAAGUUCAGAGAUAUGCACCCCACACCUAAUUCAUGCAUUGUCCUUAAUAUAUUGGUGAUAGCGGUUGUCGAAACCGUAAAAAAUAAAUCUAUUAUCAACCAACAAAAUAAUUUUGCAGAUAGUGGCAAUAGAGUCGAACCACAGGGAUUUGACACUAUGAAUUUUCCUAUUAAUGACUUGGACAAGUAAAUAAUAAAUAAUUAAAAGAAGGGGUUUUGAUUGGAUGAGUUAAUAUUAAAGAGAAAGCAAUAAUUUAAAAGGAUAAGAAUUUCAAUGGGAAAAGGAUUCUAGUUGAAGCAUGGAUGAAUUCCAGGUUGUUUAGAAUUGAUCAUUGACUUUUUGUUACUCUUAUUUAUUUCAAUAAGUUAAUUUAGGACGUGGAAGACGCUUCUCACAAUCCAAAUUCCUCCUUAGUUUUAGUUUGAUUAGGAAACGUUCGCUAAUCAAACUCUAGUUAACAAGUUGCCAAGGAACGUCCUUGGGGCUUUUAGCAUCGAACAACUGUUAACUGCAUUAGGACUUAGAAAAACCCAACUCUAACCUUGCCAACCACGUGGUCAAGUUAGAUUAUGUAACUGAUUAUACUUGUGAUUAAAUAACUUAAGCAAUUACGGAUCUAAAUUAUUUAAACAAUAUAUUACUCAAGCAAUUAAAAGCAACAGGCCUUAAUUGAUUCUAAAAGCAAAGCAAUAAUUAUAGAAAGAUCAAGUUGCAUAAAUAUUGAAAAUAAACAAGAGUUUGACAUGGAGUAUUAAAUCUCCCUAUUCAUCACAAAUAUGGAAUUUCCAACUUCAACUAGAAAAGAGUUGGUUAGCCACUUAUGGUGAACAAAAUCACAAAAAGAAGAAAGAAAGAAGAGAAGAGAGAGGCUGCUGUGUUUUCUGCAGAAUUCCCCGAAGGUGCUGAGUAAAGAGGAUGAUCUGUUGGGUUGGAAGUUGUCCCUUUUAUAGCUAGAGAAUUUUAAUCCAACUAGGGUUUGGAAAUCCCCAUCUUGACUUAGUCUUUUGUGGUCUUUGAUUUCUCUUAGGAUCUUGUAUUUAAUUGUGAAUGGAUUUCCUCAAGUGAAAAGACCUCCUCGUGGCUUAAGGGACUGAUCUUGGAGUGUUUGAAAUGGAUUUGGACUUCUUUGCUUUUGAAUUUCAGUUUUCUGCACUUUUCCCGCUUCUACUGUUUCUCUGCGUCAAUGUGAUUUGGGCGGGUGAUUUGGGCAGAUCACUUGCCCAAAUCGUUUUUGUGUGUUGCCUCCAGAUUUCUGCCUUAGCUUUCUGCUUCUGAUUUCUGCGGGUGAUUUGGCCAAAUCACUUUGACCCAAUCACUUUUCCAGCUUUUUCUACACUUUUUCUCAAACUUUCCAUUUUCUUCUUUUUCUACAAAAACAUAACAAAAACAUAAAUUAAGAUAGAAAAAUGAGUAAUUAAACAGUAAUAAAUAUAAUAAAAAUGUGGCUAAAUUAAGCUUGAUCAAAUACCCCCACACCUAGCUUUUUGCUUGUCCUCAAGUAAAAAAUAACUUAGUCAAUUAAGCUCUUUUUUCUUUUGAGCCUAAGUACCACUUAAUCAGCCCCCUCUAGACUCCCAAAUUGAAGUAUCACAGUAUAGAGUACAUGCACUAAGGUUGUUCUCUCUUUUCCUUGUUUCCUUUCACCUACUAUGGUCAUGAGAAAGGUUUUUGGUUCCAUCAUGCUUAUUCUUUUGUUUUAAGCUUGAAGCAACCCUCUAAGAGUAACUUGCCCUUCUUUUUAGACACACUUUUUAUUCAGCAGCACUUUUUCUUUAUUCUUGCCUGAAAAAGUCAGCAACCUUUUUACGCGAAGGUGCAUAUUGGUAAUACCCACCCCCGGUUACUCAGUUAGUCACUUGUUCAAGUGGCUACUAGCUCUGUUCAUAGCUCAUUUGACCAUUGGAACAGGUUUAUGAUUUGUGCUUUGUGCUGGUUUUUCUUUUUCUUUUCUUUUCAUAACAGUUUGGGCAAAUCAGCUCAUAGGGAGUUACACUAACUUUUUAUUUGCAUGUAUUUAUAUUUUUAUUUUCCUUGACCACAACAAAUUUAAGGAUUCAAUUCAAGAAAAGAACUUUCAAAGUGAAGGUAGCACACUGUAAUUGAUUCAAUUUAGGCUUAAAGGGGUGAAAAAUCAAUGGGGUCAUGAGAUAAGAAGCUCUUUUAACCUUGUUAUCUAUGCUGAGUAGAGCAAUAGCUAAGACAAAAUUCUGUGUGUGUGUGCAGAAAGUGAAAAAUGUGUGCAAAGGAAAAAUGUGUGAAAAGAAAAAAAUUUGUGUGUGUGUUAGGGGAGGGAAAAAAAUGCGAAAAGAAAGCAAAAGAUAGUGUAAUUAAUGCAAGAAUAACCUAACAGUACCCCCACACCUAUUGCAAACAUUGUCCUCAAUGUGUAAACAUAUAUAAAAAUUAAGAAGGAAAGGGAAAGGGACUUCCUGGCCUGUGGGUGAUUUGGUUAGUGAUUUGGGCAAAUCACUCGGCCAAAUCACUGUCUGGCAUGGUCUGUGGGCAGGAAGUGGUCCACCAGCAGUUGCAGCAAGUGCUCCAUAUGCUGCAUUCUAUCCUCAAUUCUGUUGAGACGAGCCUCGAUUGUCUGGUUUGGGGCUAUGUCUUCAGUGGCCUGGUUUGCUUCCUGCUGGGGUGCCACUGGAGGUGGUUCAUCUACUGGGGGUGCCUGUUCUGUUUCCCCUGCUGUCCCAUCUGCUGGGGCAGGGUGUUGGUAUACUAGGGUAAGGGUGGCCUUCUUCUUCCUAAAUACAUGCUCAUGGCGUGGUGUUAGAGGCUCUGCAGGUGAAAGAGAAAAAAUGUUCCCCACUUUGCAAAGAAACUCCAUAUCAUCUAAAGAUCGAAGGUCCAAGGGGGUUGGAUUGUUAGUGGGGUGAGGUCAGUGUGGUCUGGGUGCAAUGAUUUCAGGUUCACUGCAAUGGUAGUGAUCAAAUGGCCCAAAAUCAGGGGUCUGUGGUACUGGAUGAUGUUGGAGAUUUGUGUAGCUACCCAAUAUCCAAAGUGGAUUUUCUGGUGUUUGUGCAUGCACCACAGAAUGUAAAGCUCUGUUCUGGUCAGGAUGUUGGGUGCAUCCUUCCUCCUAGAAAAUGUGUAGGCCAAAAACCUAUGAAUGUAUUUUAGGCUGGGAUUUUUCAGGUACAGGUCUUUGGACCUGGUGGGCGAGUAAGAAUCAGGGGGGUUAUCACACAACUCCAAAUAGGCAUUGAUGUGAUUGAAUUCAGCAGAAAAAUCCCAGGUGGAGUCAGGGCAUUCACAGCCCAUGGCAGUGCCAAACUCCUGCAGGGACAAGCGAAAUCGCUGUCCCAAUAACCUGAACCCAAUAACAUCUGGUGUGUGCAGGUUGUGCAUGGUUGGUCUAUCAAAGUAGAAAGUGGUGAAGAACUCAUGUGUGAGCUCAAUGAAGGAUGGAAAAUGAAGGAAGAAGAAUUUGUCCCAACUAAUUGCAGAGAUUAGGGAACGUACCUGGUCUUGGAGUCUCAGUGCUUCAAGAGUGCCAUGGUGUAUGUACUUACCUGGAUGGUACGGCAGGGAAGAGACUUUAUCUAGCCUGGUUCGUUCAGAUGCCUUGUUGAAUGUCAUGGUCUAAGUGAUGUGAUCUGGGUGGGUUGGUUUGGGCAAAUCGCUGGGCAAUUCGCCUUCUUUGUGGCCUGCGGGAGGCAUGUCCAUGGGUGUCUCUGGUUGUCAUUCUGGGCUCGGCGGUGGUGGUGGUGAAGGUGUUCUCGGCCGUUUCUGCCCAUGGCCAGUUGAAGUGGUGGCUUCUGGAGGCGUUUCGCCUUCAGGGGUUCCCAUCGCGUCUGUUGGAGAGGAAGGUGGUGCUUCAAUCAUCGUCGCCUUGUUUCGCUGGCGAUAGGUCUGGACAUCUGGUGAGUCGAAGUGCCUGGUCUCUGUACCUUCGGCUGUUCCUGUGUCGGCGUCGUUGGGAACGGGUGGAGGGUUUUCCAUUGCCUCUUCGUCACUGUCGGUGGGAAUGCGUAUCGGUCCGGGCAUCCCGCGCCUCCUCCACAUCUCGGGGCCACUGGUAACCAUCAUCUUGGUUCUGGCCAUGGUGUCUGAUGUCGCCGGUGAUAGUAGUUUCUUGGAGAAGAAGAAAAAGAUGAAACAGAAAGAGAUAGCGUGAGGGAAAAGGAAAUAAUAAAAAAUUAUUUAAAGUGAUUUGGGGUAGUUGAACUGCCCUGAUCAUUAAAUACUGAGUCUCUGGCUUCUUGACAUGGUGAUUUGGUCAGUGAUUUGGGCAAAUCACUUGGCCAAAUCACCUUCUUCAUUGCAGUUGCUUGGUUGGUACUGUUCACGCCCUUUGCUGUUGAUGGGCUGAGCUGUCGAUUUGGCCUGGUGAUUUGGGCAAAUCACUUCUUCGGUGCAAUGGCCUUGUUGAUCUUGUUCUUUCGAGAUGAACCCUGUCGAUUUGGCCUGUCGAUUUGGGCUCAUCACCUGCCCCAAUUACUUAUGACUAUGGUACAUUCAGCCAAUUUGCCCCAGUGAUUUGGGCAGAUCGCUUCAGCUGGGUUGCCUCCCAGUAGCGUCCUGUUUUCUGUCUUGGGCUGGACUGCCUUAUCUUGAUCAGCAGGCUGGGGAAGGGGGAUCCAAGGGAACCUCCUCCACAAGGUGAACAGUAAACCCUUCAUAAAAUUGCUUCAAACGGUGCCCAUUGACCUUGAAAAUUUUGCUAGUUUGUGGAUUGCGAAUGUCCACAGCUCCAUGUGGAUAGAUGUGCUCCACCAAAAAUGGCCCAAUCCACCUAGACCGAAGCUUCCUAGGGAAUAAUUUGAACCUUGAAUCAAAAAGCAAAACUUUAUCACCAACCUGGAAGUAUUUUAUGGAGAUAUUUUUGUCAUGGAAGGCUUUGGUCUUUGCUUUGUAAUCCCAUGAAGCUUCAUAUGCAUCACGCCGGAUCUCCUCUAGCUCUUGAAGUUGUAAUUUUCUAUUGGUUCCAGCUUCUUUUUCAUCAAGAUUACACUUUUUGACAGCCCAAUAGGCUUUGUGUUCAAGUUCUACGGGUAGAUGGCAAGCUUUCCCAUAAAUCAGCCUAUAUGGAGACAUUCCAAUUGGAGUUUUAUAUGCUGUUCUAUAUGCCCAUAAGGCAUCAUUGAGGUGCACACUCCAGUCCUUGCGAUUUAGGCAUACUGUUUUCUCCAAAAUUGACUUAAUCUCCCUAUUUGACACUUCGGCCAGCCCAUUUGUUUAAGGAUGAUAGGCAGUAGAGGUUCUAUGGAUGACGUGGUGCUUCUUAAGGAGAGUUUCUACUACCUUGUUGUAAAAAUGGGUGCUACGGUCACUGAUAAUGGCUUUGGGCAGACCGAAUCUUGAGAAUAUGUGGGAUUUCACGAAGUCACAAACUAUUUUUGCAUCAUCAGCCCUUGUUGCCUUUGCCUCAAUCCACUUGGACACAUAGUCCACUGCCAGCAGUAUGUAGGUGCUGCCAAAGGAAGGUGGAAAGGGCCCCAUGAAGUCAAUGCCCCAAAUAUCAAAUAUUUCACACACCAUAAUGGGUGCUUGUGGCAUUUCACUUCGGGUGCCAAGGUUUCCCGUUUGUUGGCAUCUUGCACAUGACCUACAAAAUAAAUAAGAAUCUCUAAAUAUAUUAGGCCAAAAUAACCCACAUUUAAGUAUUUUCAAGGCUGUCUUGCGUGGGCCAAAAUGUCCUCCACAGCCAUAUGAGUGGCAGAAGGCUAGGACAUAAUGUAUUUCUUGAUUUGGUAUGCAUGUCCUUAUGACUUGGCCUGCACAAUGCUUCCAUAGGUAAGGCUCAUUCCACACAUAAUAUCUUGCAUCUUUUUUUUUAUCUUAUUUCUCAUGUGUUGGGGCAAAUCAGUAGGUAAAUCACCUGUGGCAAGGUAAUUUACUAUAUCAGCAUACCAUGGUUCCUCUUCUUGAACAACAAAGAGGUGCUCAUCAAGGAAAUUUUCGUUGAUGGGGUAGGUCUCCAUCUCGGUCAGUAUUCUGCUGAGGUGAUCAGCUACAAGGUGCUCUUUUCCCUUUUUAUCACGAAUCUCCAGGUCAAACUCUUGCAUGAGCAAUAUCCAUCGCACCAGCCUUGGUUUGGACUCCUUUUUCUUGAUUAAAUAUCUUAAUGCAUCAUGGUCUGAAUAAAUAAUCACCUUUGUCCCAAGUAGAUAGGAUCAAAAUUUCUCCAAUGCAAACACAACAGCUAGCAACUCUUUUUCUGUGGUAGAAUAAUUGCAUUGUGCAGCAUUUAGGGUGCAUGAGGCAUAAUGAAUGACAUGAGGAGAAUUACCUUUGCGUUGUCCCAAUACUGCACCUACAGCAAAGUUGCUGGCGUCACACAUGAUCUCAAAUGGAAGGGUCCAAUCAGGUGGCUGGAUGAUUGGGGCAGUGAUCAGCAGUGAUUUGACCAAAUCAAAAGCUAUUUUGCAGUUUUUAUCAAAGCUGAAUUGCACGUCCUGCUGUAAUAACCUGCACAAAGGCUGAGUUAUUUUGGAAAAAUCUUUGAUGAACCUUCUGUAAAAUCCAGCAUGGCCAAGGAACGAUCUAAUCUCCCGAAUGCUGGCUGGAUAGGGCAAGCUUUUGAUGGUGUCCACUUUGGCCUUGUCCACCUCUAUCCCUUUUGCUGAAACAAUAUGGCCCAAGAUUAAGCCAUGGCUGACCAUGAAGUGGCACUUCUCGUAGUUGAGAACUAGAUUUGUCUCCAAGCAUCUUUGAAGUAUCUUCUUCAAGUUGGCUAGGCAUUCAUUGAAUGAGUUGCCAUAUACCGUGAAAUCGUCCAUGAAGACUUCAAUAAUCUUCUCCACAUAGUCAGAAAAAAUACUCAUCAUGCACCUUUGGAAAGUGGCUGGUGCAUUGCAAAGACCGAAGGGCAUCCUUCUAAAUGCGAAGGUGCCAAAUGGACAUGUGAAGGUGGUCUUUUCUUGGUCUUCAGGUGCAACGGAAAUUUGGUAGAAUCCCGAAUAUCCAUCAAGGCAGCAGUAAUGGCUUUUUUCAGCAAGUCUCUCAAGCAUUUGGUCCAUGAAGGGCAAGGAAAAAUGGUCCUUCCUUGUGUCUGUGUUGAGCUUCCUGUAAUCCAUGCACACUCUCCACCCAUUUUGCACACGAGUGGGUACUAGCUCUCCUUCAGAAUUGGGGACAAUAGCAAUCCCAGUCUUCUUUGGUACUACGUGGAUAGGACUCACCCACUUGCUAUCAGAGAUGGGGUAGAUGACUCCGGUAUCUAAGAGCUUCACUAUUUCUUUCUUCACAACCUCCAUCAUCGGUGGAUUUAGCCUUCUUUGGGCCUCACAGACAGGUUUGCAUUCAUCCUCCAUGAGUAUCCGAUGCAUGCAUGUUGAGGGUGAGAUGCCUUUGAUGUCCUCUAAGGUCCACCCAAUUGCUUUCUUGUGUUUCCUCAAUAUCUCUAGGAGUUUUUCCUCUUCUUGCUGGUUGAGUUGAUUGGAUACUAUGACUGGAAGUGUAUUUCCAGCCCCCAAGUAGGCAUAUUUAAGGUGCCUUGGCAGAGGUUUCAGAGUUGGUGCAGUUGCUAUCUGGUCUGAUGCUUGCUGUCUGUCCACUGAUUUGGGCAAAUUGCCUGGCGCUGGGUCUGGUGAUCUGGGCAGAUCACCUUCUGUCCUGUCUGUCUGUUCCAGCGAUUUGGGCAAGUCAGAAUCUGCCUGUACUGGUGAUUUUGGUAGAUCACCCGCAACCAGCUGGGAACAGUGUGCUGUCUUCACUGCUUCUGUCUUGGUGCUGCUGUCCACUUCUCCUUGCCUGCAAAAAUCAUCAUAAAGUAAAUUUUCUUGAUCAAAAUAAAAAAUUUCUUGACUUAAAUCAUCAAUAACAACAAGGCUAUAAAUAGGAGAAACAUCAUUGGGGAAUUUCAUGGCAUCAUAAACAUUAAACUUGAUAACUCCAUGGUUAAUGUGCCAUCAUGCACAUCAAUUUUUAUUCUGGUUGUACUCAAGAAUGGUCUCCCAAGUAGGAUGUCAGAGAGGUAUUGCUUUUAUCUUCCUCCAUGUCAAUGACAUAGAAAUCAGCUGGGAAGACUAGUUGGUCCACUUGCACCAACACAUCUUCAAGCACUCCCUUCGGAUAGACAACAGAUCGGUCAGUCAAUUGGAUUACUAUGCUGGUACCUUUGAGUGUACCUGCAUUCAAUAAGUUAAAAAUAGAAAGGGGCAUGACAUUGAUUGAAGCCCCAAGGUCACACAUGGCAUUCUUUAUCCCCACGUUGCCUAUUUUGCAUGAAACUGCGAACAUCCCUCUAUCUUUGCAUUUGACUGGAAGCUUUCUUUGAAUGACAGCUGAGACACAAUCCCCCACACUUACCUUUUCACGUUCAGCAAGUUUCCUUCUAUUGGUGCAUAGCUCUUUGAGAAAUUUGGCAUACCUUGGUAUUUGUUUGACAGCAUCAAGUAGAGGUAUGUUGAUUUCCAAAUUGCGAAGUGUCUCAAGUAUUUCUUUUUCCUCUUUUUCUUUUUGAGACCUUGCAAAUCUUUUGGGAAAGGGGGGAGGUACCUUAAAUUUCUCCACUGGUUGCUGGUCUGACUUCUGCCUGUUACUGGAUUCUACCUGGUCUGUUGAUUUGGGCAAAUCAACUUCUGCCUUCUCUGGUGAUUUGGGCACAUCACUACUGCUGGGCAGCUCAGUCUACCUAGCGAUUGGGUUAGUGAUUUGGGCAGAUCGACUGCCCCGAUCACUUUCUAGCAGAUUCUCCUCAGCAAUCUGUUUUUGCUUUUGCUCAGCCCUACUGUCUUGCAGCUCUUUUCCACUCCUCAAUGUGAUAGCUCUAGCAUUCUGCCUCGGGUUUAUCUAAGUUUGGGAGGGCAGUUUUCCUUGUGAUUCAAGGUUGCUUAAGGAUGAAGCCAUUUGUCCCAUUUGUUGCUCAAGAUUCUGCACAGUGUUUGUUAGGGUCUUCACAAUCUCUUCAAGGGGUGCAUUGGACUUUUGAGGUGCUGGAUUUCUUUACUGGUAAUUUGGAUAUUGAUUGGCCCUUGCAUAACUGAAGUUCGGAUGGUCCCUCCAACCUGGAUUAUAGGUGUUAGAAUAGGGAUCAUACCUUCUUUGCCCAUUGAAACCUCCAACUGCAUUGACUUGCUGGUCUUCUUCUUGAAGGGAAGGACAUAGAUCAGUUGGGUGGUUUGUAUUUGCACAUAUUCCACAUGGCUUGGGCUGCUGAAGCUGCUGGGCUUGUUGGGCUUGACCCACAACAAGGCUACGGACAUCAUUGGUUAGAUCAGAGAUUUGGAAUGCCAAAAUUGAUGUACUCACCUCAUUUACCAUUCUUGGUGGCUGUUCUUGGUUUCCAAAUUGCUGAGAAGCUGCAGCCAUGGUGGAAAUUAAAUUCCUCAUCUCACGAGGUGAUUUGUCUUCAAUUGACCCCCCACAAGCUGCAUCAAUAAAUUUUCUCUCUGAGGGCAGCAGACCUCCAUAGAAGUAUUCAAUGAGGGAUUGGUCAGAAAUAUCAUGUUGUGGGUAGCUUGUGCAUAACCUUUUGAACCUUUCCCAGUAUUCGUACAAGCCUUCAGAGUAUUUUUGCCUUAUACCACUUAUUUCUCGGCAGAUGCCUAUGGCUUUUGAGGUUGGAAAGAAUUUUCUCAAGAAUGCUCUCACCAUACCAGCCCAUGAUGUGAUGGAUCCGGGUGGCAAGUAAAAUAGCCAUUCCUUGGCAUAGUCGUCAAGGGAAAAAGGGAAGGCUCUAAGUUUAACAUGCUCUUCUGAAAUACCUUGAGGUCUCAUGGUGGAGCACACAAUAUGGAAUUCCUUUAAAUGCUUGUGAGGAUCUUCAUUUUCUAGGCCUCUGAAUUUGGGAAGGAGAUGGAUCAGGCCUAUCUUUAAUUCGAAAGGUGCUGUCAAUGGGGGAUAUGCAAUGCACAAGGGCGCUUGGUCUCCUGCCGGUUCAGCUAGUUCUCGGAGUGUUCUCUCCCGUGGCUGUGGUGCCUGGAUAGGCAUGUUUCCAGCUUGAAUUUCAGCUUCUUCACGUGCAACAGGGGGUUCUGCCAUUACUGGAUUUUCUGCAGCAACUCGGAAGUCUGUUUCUAGUGCAAAUUCAGCAGUGGGUGAAUCUAUUGGUGCAGAAAAUUCUGCAGCAGGGGCAGUAGCAGAUCUGUGAGAUGGUGUUGCUGAUGAAGAUGGUCUUGAGGCUUGGUUCCUCAAAUUUGCUUGCUUUCUUAAGCUCUUGGCGAUGCAUUCUAUCUUUGGAUCGUAAAGAAGAGUGUCUUUACGGCCAGACCUAGUCAUAAAGGGAAAAAUACGUUAGUUUAAAUCAAAUCCCCGGCAACGGCGCCAAUUUUUGAUAGCGGUUGUCGAAGCCGUCAAAAAUAAACCUAUUAUCAACCAACAAAAUAAUUUUGCAGAUAGUGGCAAUAGGGUCGAACCACAGGGAUUUGACACUACGAAUUUUCCUAUUAAUGACUUGGACAAGUAAAUAAUAAAUAAUUAAAAGAGGGGGUUUUGAUUUGAUGAGUUAAUAUUAAAGAGAAAUCAAUAAUUUAAAAGGAUAAGAAUUUCAAUGGGAAAAGGAUUCUAGUUGAAGCAUGGAUGAAUUCCAGGUUGUUUAGAAUUGAUCAUUGACUUUUUGUUACUCUUAUUUAUUUCAAUAAGUUAGUUUAGGACGUGGAAGACACUUCUCACAAUCCAAAUUCCUCCUUAGUUUUAGUUUGAUUAGGAAACGUUCGCUAAUCAAACUCUAGUUAACAAGUUGCCAAGGAACGUCCUUGGGGCUUUUAGCAUCGAACAACUGUUAACUGCAUUAGGACUUAGAAAAACCCAACUUUAACCUUGCCAACCGCGUGGUCAAGUUAGAUUAUGCAACUGAUUAUACUUGUUGACUUGCGGUUGUCGAAACCGGUCAAAAAUAACCUUUCUGGUUAUCAAUAAUUUACAACUGCAGAUAGUGGUGAAAGGAUCGAAUCCACAAGGAAUUGAGAACUCACCUAUUUCUCUUUUUAUGACUAAGAAAAUAAACUGGAACAAUAAUAAACUAAAAAUGAGAUAAAAAACUGAAAGUGGGAUUAAAUGAGAUAAAUUGGGAUAAAAAACUAUCAACAAAAUAACAGGGGGGGUUUGAGAUUGAUUGUAGUAACUAAUAAUGAGAAUAAUAAUAGAAAGCAAAUAAUAAAAUAAAGAGUAAUCAAUAAUGAGAAAGUUCUAGUUGAAGUAUUGAAUCCACUUUAGUUGUUGGGAUUGAUCACAGACACUUUGUUCUUUUGGGUUGAUUCAAUAGAUUAGUUAUGGAGAUGGAAGACGCUUCUCACCACCAUUAUCUCUCCUUAUGAUUAAACCAAUUAGGGAACGUCCUCUAAUUAAUUACUAAUUAACAAAUUGCCAAGGAACGUCCUUGGGUCUCAGACAUUAAAACAAUUGUCAAUUGCAUUAAGAAAUAGAGAGAUCCAAUCCUAACUACCCAAACGUAUGGAGAUAACGCUAGAUCAUACAAUUUCCUUGGGUUUUAUCCCAAGUGUUCUCAUGUAAGAAUAAUCUAAGCAAUUACGGACUUAAAUUAUUCAAACUAACAAAUAAUUAUUUUGCAAUCAAAAAUCAACGUAGAUCUCAAUAAUAAAAUAAUAUGAAAAUUAAAUAUGAAAUUGCAUGAAUAUUGAAUUCCCAAAAAUUAAACAAUAUUUGAUCAAGUCUCACAACCCAUUAAUCAACUAAAGCUUCAACCAAUAUUCAACUAGAUUAAAGAAAUCAGCCACUCAUUGGCUGAAUCAAAAACAGAAAAAUAAAAAGGGAAAAGAAAGAACCGAAGGAGCUGAUUUCUUCUGCGCAGAGGCUUGCGGAAAUUUCCGAGAGGAGAAAUUGUAAUUCUGUGCUCCUGUCUUCUGGCCGCUUAAAGCUCUUUAAAUAGAGCUGGAGAGACGCCCUAAUUGGGAAAUUGCGGUCCACGUGAAGAGCUUUGAAGUGGGCCCAUGUGUCCAAGUGCGUUGCGUGAGUUGAUGAGGAGCUUUGGUCCAUUUGGGCGUGAAUUGAGCUUGGUGGGUCCAUGGUCCACGUGAAGUGAUGAAGUGCGGGAGUGAGCUUGUCCAUGUGCGGUCCACGGUGAAGUGAUGAAGUGCAGUGGCCCAUUUGCGUGAAGUGAGAAUGGUCAUGAGUGCAAGGUGGAGGUGCGGGCCAUGGUUCCACGUGAACGUGCGGAAGCUUGCCUUGGUGGGCCUGUGUGCGUGUGGCGAAGGCGGGUCCAUGGUGCAAGGUCGUGCGGGCCAUUUGCACAUGAAUUGAGCUUGCGGAAAUAGGCCGUCCAAUUGCUUCAAUAUUUAAGCUUCAAAAUAUCUUCCUCGUUUAGCUUGACUUGAAUCCAACUUGGCAGGCUUGCUUUCUUUGGCUCUAAAUAAGGCAGUUUUAGGGGGAUUUUCUCCAAAAUGUCCUUUUACACCAUUUUCUGCAAAAUAAUAUUAAAAGCACUAAAUUAAGCAGAAAUCAUGUAAAUAUUUAUUAAUAAUAUUAAUAUAAAAUGGACUAAAUUAUGCUCUAUCACUUGUGAUUAAAUAACUUAAGCAAUUACGGACCUAAAUUAUUUAAACAAUAUACUACUCAAGCAAUUAAAAGCAACAGGCCUUAAUUGAUUCUAAAAGCAAAGCAAUAAUUAUAAAAAGAUCAAGUUGCAUAAAUAUUGAAAAUAAACAAGAGUUUGAUCAUGGAGUAUUAAAUCUCCCAAUUCAUCACAAAUCUGGAAUUUCCAAUUUCAACUAGAAAAGAGUUGGUUAGCUACUCAUGGUGGACAAAAUCACAAAAAGAAGAAAGAAAGAAGAGGAGAGAGAGGCUGCUGUGUUUUCUGCAGAAUUCCCGAAGGUGCUGAGUAGAGAGGAUGAUCUGCUGGGUUGGAAGUUAUCCUUUUUAUAGCUGGAGAAUUUUUAUCCAACUAGGGUUUGGAAAUCCCCAUCUUUAUAAUACCCGGCUCGAGUCCGGCCUCGGAAUUCCUGUAGUCUGGUGGAAUCUCGGGUGUCGGAACCCUCGAGAAGGGUACAAUCUUGACUUGGUCUUUUGUGGUCUUUGAUUCCUCCUUGGAUCUUGUAUUUAAUUGUGAAUGGAUUUCCUCAAGUGAAAAGACCUCCUCGUGGCUUAAGGGACUGAUCUUGGAGUGUUUGAAAUGGAUUUGGACUUCUUUGCUUUUGAAUUUCAGUUUUCUGCACUUUUCCCGCUUCUGCUGUUUCUCUGCGUUAAUGUGAUUUGGGCGGGUGAUUUGGGCAGAUCACUUGCCCAAAUCGUUUAUGUGUGUUGCCUCCAGAUUUCUGCCUUAGCUUUCUGCUUCUGAUUUCUACGGGUGAUUUGGCCAAAUCACUUUGACCCAAUCACUUUUUCAGCUUUUUCUACACUUUUUCUCAAACUUUCCAUUUUCUUUUUUUUUUUCUACAAAAACAUAACAAAAACAUAAAUUAAGCUAGAAAAAUGUGUAAUUAAACAGUAAUAAAUAUAAUAAAAAUGUGGCUAAAUUAAGCUUGAUCAAUUGGAAAUAUUAAAGUUCAAAGGAAACUGAGUACUCUUCUGGUGUGGUUUGUGUGGUGCGAAACACUAAGCAGACUGAGAAGGAUGAUGCAGUGGAACUUCUUCCACAACUUGCACUAUGAACCCUUCAAUAGUAUGGUUUCAGAUAUGGUUCAUCACAAACAUCGUGUCUUGCAUUCUUCUUUAUUUUGUCUUUAUACCAUGGUUCAUCAGUUUGGGCAUGGAACAUUUGUUCAUAGAAGCCACUUUCUUCAGAUUUUGGAAGUUGCUGCAUGGGGGCUUCUGAUUGGGAAGAUAAGUGUCUGUUUGCGUUGGGAGGUUGGCUGAGCUGGGUUUCGCAUGCUUCAUUGAUGUGGGCGAUUUGACUUCAGCUUUCUAAAGUGGGUCGCAGUUCAUCUGCUGAAUGUAGCAGGCUGAUGCUUUCAGUUUUGACUCUUUUUGGCUAGCCUCCCUGCAAAAGUCAUUGUUUAGCAUAUCAUCUUGAUUCAUAUCAAAAACUUCUUGGCUCAAACAAUCAAUGAUAUCUAAACCAUAAAUAGGGGACAUGUCAUGGGGAUAUUUCAUAGCAUCAUAAACAUUAAAUUUUAUUACUUUCCCUUCAAAUUCUAUGGUCAAUGUGUCAUCAUGCACAUCUAUCUUAGUUCUGACUGUGCUCAAGAAAGGUCGUCCUAGUAGGAUGUCCGAAGUAGUGUUGCCAUUGUCUUCCUCCAUAUCAAUCACAUAGAAAUCUGCUGGAAAGACAAGUUGAUCUACUUGUACUAGAAUAUCUUCUAGAACUCCUUUUGGAUAUACUACAGAUCUGUCAGCUAAUUGAAUCACUACUCUAGUGUCUUUCAGUGCACCUGCAUUCAAGGAAUUAUAAAUAGAGAGAGGCAUAACAUUAAUUGAUGCACCUAAAUCACACAUGGCCUUUUUGAUGCCCACAUUGGUAAUUUUACAAGAAACAACAAACAUCCCUUUAUCUUGACACUUGGCUGGCAGUUCUCUUUUUAUGACAGGUGUCACAACUUCACCUACACUUACCUUUUCUUUCUCAGCAAGCUUCCUUCUGUUAGUGCACAGUUCUUUCAGAAAUUUUGCAUACCUGGGAAUUUGUUUCACAGCAUCUAACAGAGGUAUGUUGAUCUCCACUUUCCUGAAGGUCUCAAGGAUCUCUUUUCUUCUUUUUCUUUUUGUGACUUCUCAAAUCUUUUUGGAAAAGGUGGUGGAAUCUUGAAACUUACUUACUGAUUUGUAUUUUGCUGGUGUAUUGGUGCGGUUUGCCCAAUCGGUUUGGACAAACAGUUUUCUGGCUGCUUCUCUACAGCAGCUUGUCUUUGCACUUGUGAACUUCCUUCAUUAGCCUUGGCAUCCUAGAGCUCUUUCCCACUUCUUAAUAUGAUAGCACUUACAUUUUUCCUGUAAUUAGCUUCAGUUUGGGAAGGUAGCUUACCUUGAGAUUCAAGCUUGCUUAUUGAGGUGGCUAUUUGUCCCAUCUGCUGUUGGAGACUUUGUAUAGAAUUUGCCAAUGACUUCACUACCUCCUUAAGGUGCAUAUUGGAGCUUGGAGGUGCUGCUUGGGCUUGAUUUCUUUGAUAGUUCUGGUAUUUGUUAGCCCUAACAUAGCCGAAGUUCGGAUGGUCUCUCUAACCUGGAUUGUAUGUGUUAGAGUAUGGAUCAUGUCUAGGCUGGCUAUUGAAUCCUCCAAUGGCAUUCACUUGCUGUUCAUCCUCUUGAAGUGUAGGACAUUGAUCAGUUGGGUGUCCUACAUGUGCACAUAUCCCAUAUAGUCUAGCUGGCGGAACUUGUUGAGCUUGACCUAUGACAAGACUUUUCACAGUAGAGGUUAGUUCAAAAAUUUAAGAAGCGAGAACAGAUGUACUUACCUCAUUGACUCAUCUUUGCAGUUCCUUUUCAUCUCCAUAUUGUUUAGAUGCUACUGUAAGUGUUGAAAUCAACUCUUUGAUUGCUUGAGGUGUGCUAUCUUCAAUUGAACCUCCACAUGCUAUAUCAAUGAAAUUCCUUUCGGAUGAUAGCAAACUUCCAUAGAAGAAUUCUAUGAGUGAUUUAUCUGAAAUAUCAUGUUGAGGACAGCUUGUGCACAAUCUCUUAAAUCUUUCCCAAUAAUCAUACAAAUCUUCAGUUUCUUUUUGCUUAAUACCACUUAUCUCUCUUCUUAUGCCUAUGGUUUUAGAAGUUGGGAAAUAUUUAUUCAUAAAAACUCUUACCAUACCAUCCCAAGAAGUGAUUGAACCAGGUGGUAGGUAGAAUAACAAAUCUUUGGCAUAAUCAUCAAGUGAGAAUGGGAAUGCUCUCAAUUUUACAUGCUCUUCAGUUAUGCCUUGCAACCUCAUGGAUGAGCAUACAAUGUGAAAUUCUUUCAAGUGCUUAUGUGGAUUUUCAUUCUCCAAACCUCUAAAUUUAGGUAGUAGAUGUAUCAAACCUAUUCUGAGCUCAAAAAGGACUGUCAGAGGUGGAUAGGUGAUGCAGAGAGAUGUUUGAUCGCCUAUAGGGGUUGCCAACUCUCUCAGUGUUCUUUCUCUUGGCAUUGGUGGCCUCAUUGCUGGAUUUUCUGGUAUUAAUUCAUCAUGGACAGCAGGUUCAGCAUGGGCAGCAGGUUGUGCAUUGUUUUCAGUAAUCUCUGUGGCUGUUUGGUCAAGUUCAGAAGGUGUUGCUUCAGUUUCUGCGAUGGCAGGUUUCUCUGUGGCAGAUUCGGUGAUGGCUUGCUUCCAAAGUGUGGCGACUUGCUUCCCAAGUCGCUUGAUUGUAUGCUCAAUUUCUGGAUCGUAAGGCAGAGUUUCCUUGUGUCCAGAUAUGAUCAUGAAAGAAAAAUAAAUUACUUAAAUCAACUCCGUGGCAACGACGCCAAUUUUUUACUGUGCAGUUGUUAAAGUCGAUAAAAAAUAACCUUUUUGGUUAUCAACAAUUUUACAACUGUAGAUAGUGGCAAAAGGAUCGAAUCCACAGGGAAUUGAUACUUACCUAUUUCUUUUAUCAAGACCAAGUAAACAAACUGAAAGUAAAUAAAUUGAAAGAAAAAUAAAAGGGGGGGGUUUGAGAUUGAUUCAAUUAAACUAAUAAUGAAAGCAAUAAAGUAAAGCGAAUAAUUAAAGUAAAGGAAUUCAAAUAUGAGAAAAGCUCUAGUUGAAGAAUUGGAUCCACUUUAGUUGUUAGGAUUGAUCAUUGAUGCUUAGAUUCCUUUGUUUGAUUCAAUAAAUUAGUUAUGGAGAUGGAAGACGCUUCCCACCACCAUAUCCCUCCUUAAGCAUAAAUCAAUUAGGGAACGUCCUCUAACUAAUCACUAAUCAACAAGUUGCCAAGGAACGUCCUUGGGCCUUUGGCAUCUAACAACUGUCAAUUGCAUUAAGAAAUAGAGAGACCUAAUUCUAGCUACCCAAACGCAUGGUGAUAUUGCUAGAUCAUGCAAUUUCCUUAGUUUUUACACCAAGAGUUACUUAUGUUUGAAUAAUCCAAGCAAUUACGGACUUAAAACUAUCCAAACUAACAAAUUAUUACCUUGCAAUCAAGAAUCAAUUGGCCUUAUUGAUCUAAAUAACAAAGCAACAAUGGAAUUAAGCAUGAAAUUGCAUAAAUAUUGAAAACCAAAAGAUAAACAAUGUAUGUUCAGAUCUCCCAAUCCAUAAAACAACCAAAGUUUCACCUAAUCUUCAACUAGAAAAAAAGAGUUUCAGCCACUCAUGGCUGAAACAAAUCUCAAAAAUAAAGGAAGAAAGAAGAAGAGAUGGUGGCCAACGGUCUUAGAGUGAAUGUACGCCGAAUCUGAAGGGAAGUGUGAUGGAUGGGGCGUGCGGCUUGGCUUGUAUUUAUAGCCUUUAUGUGCUGCCCAAGUUUGCUGCCCAAUGCUUAGCUUGCUGCCCAAGUUGCAUUGAUGAGGUGGAGCCUUCUUUUGAAUUUUGAAUUUUGAAUGUGUAUCUCCUUGAGAUUUGGCUUCUUGAAUAAGCUGAAUUUUGAAUUUUGAAUGCUCUUGAAGAUUUGAAAUUUGAAUUUCAAAUUACUUUCCUUACUUAUCUCCUCUUAAGUUGCAACUUGGCAUGCUUGUUCUCCUUUGUUCCAUUUUAGGCAGUUUUAAGGGCAUUCUCUCCAAAUUACCUCUUUACACCAUUUUCUGCAAAAUAAGAUCAAAACCACAAAAUUAGACAGAA